rnacentral:lncRNA from 1 species
CAAGUUUAUAACUUGGGUUCCCAACCGAGUUGUGUUGGUCAACGAAUUUAAGAUUAUCCUUGAAAAUUUCAAAUCUUCUUUCUUUUUCACCCAAAGCAUUAUAUGCUUUCCCGUAUUUGACUAGCCACAUCUCGUAGAGUCUUAAUGUCUCCGCCUCUGUUCUUUCUGGGACUUGGCCAUGCUUUAAGUUGUAAUCAAUUAUGGACAUGUCUAUGGCUAAACAGACAGAAACGAAAUAAAACGUAGCCAAGAAGGCAAACGAUCGAUAAAGAGA